GCGCCUGUAGCUCAGGGGAAUGAGCGUCUGUCCUACAAACAGAGGGUCGGUGGUUCGAUCCCAUCCAGGCGCA
rnacentral:tRNA from 1 species